rnacentral:tRNA from 1 species
GGGGAAUUAGCUCAGUUGGCUUAGAGCACCACGCUUGCACCGUGGGGGUCGCGGGUUCGAGUCCCACAUUCUCCACCA